ACUGUGUUCUUUGGGCCACGGUAAGGUGUGGAAUGGCUUAGACAUGCCAGCCUCAAUGCCUUCUACCAGCACUUUGUGUUUUCUCCUUUGCCUGGCUUUGAGCAGAGGUUGCCUUAUCAAACCUUAUAGGCCUUGCAAAUGUGUUACCAGCCAAUCAUGCGUAGUCCAAGGAGACAGAUCUUCACAAAGCUGUCCACGUGUAAGAGAGGGAGAAGUGAAACCAUGGAAUAAGGAGCAGCUCUUGUAUUUGUUAUUGGCACUCGCAUUGUUUGUCUACAUAACUGAGUUUGUGAAGGAGUGGACUGAGCAGUCACCACAACUGGAGGUUAUGGCUAGAGUUUCUACCAACAGUGAUGUACUAAGCGAAAGAAUCCAAUUCAGUUCACGAAAACACAAACCUGACAGACUUACUCUGCUGGACAUGUCAGAUGAAGAAUCAUAACAAUCGCUUCUUUUUUCUUUGUGUCAGGUUUUAUUCUCAUGACGCAUGUACUGUACUUACAAUAAACUAGCAAAACAG